UACGUAGGAUGCGAGCGUUAAUCGGAAUUACUGGGCGUAAAGCGUGCGCAGGCGGUUCGUUAAGUCAGAUGUGAAAGCCCCGGGCUCAACCUGGGAACUGCAUUUGAAACUGGCGGGCUUGAGUGUGGCAGAGGGGGGUGGAAUUCCGCGUGUAGCAGUGAAAUGCGUAGAGAUGCGGAGGAACACCGAUGGCGAAGGCAGCCCCCUGGGCCAACACUGACGCUCAGGCACGAAAGCGUGGGGAGCAAACAGG
rnacentral:rRNA from 1 species